rnacentral:lncRNA from 1 species
AGAAAAAUGUCUUUCUCUGGAAAGGGAAAGGUUUAUAGAAAUAGUGAAUGGUCCAAAAUCAGAGGAAUUGGUCAGUCGGUAUUAAUUUCUACAUUUGUUCGGUUGUCUCCGGUGGGGUCAUGCUCUGAGAUUAAAAAGAGAGAGCGGGAGAUCGAAAAUUUAGUAGGAAUUUUGAGAGUGAUUCACCAUUACCGACUCACUAAAAUUGCAGUCAACUUCGCCCGCUCAUUGACAACCAGUGAACAUCUUAUCGAUAAAAAAUUUCUUUUGUGACAACACUACGAUACGACUGACUUCGUGGCCACCUCUAUAUUGUGUUCCCCUUUCUCUUUGAAGUUUGAACUAAAGACUAUCUAUUUUGGACUAGACUGUGUGUAUUAUUUCCUGGACACGAAACAGAACAACUGAUAACUUCUUCUGUUCCUUACAGGUAUCUAUCCGUUCAGAAUGCUUCUGUACAUUUCUCUAUCUCUCAAUAAAAGAUCUAUG